rnacentral:misc_RNA from 1 species
UAGCCUUAAAAUUCAAAAAGAAUCCAUUACGUCAAUCGCAUUCGAAUUCGUUACGCGCUUUUUAAUCUCUAUGGAAACGGCAACAAUUGCCGUUUCUAUGGAAACGCGUAUUGUUGCAACACGAUUUUGCACGUUGCACUUUGCACGUUUUUCGCUUGCCGAACGGACUCUGGUUUUUGCUCUGAUUUCUGCCUUUUUUCAGUGGUUUUUGCUACCGGAACGUGGUUUUGAGAAGACUUGUGGACGCCGACAUUACACCAAGUAAGAUUUUAAUUAGAAUUUAGCUAGCUUUAAGAUUUUAUUUUCGUUUCGUUUAGUGCAACUUUCGGAGACGACAUCGGCCGACUCGGACUUUGCAUAUUUGCGUUUAAAUCUGCCGUCGCUUGUGUUUUUCGUUUGAAUUACCAUCCGAAACGCAUCUCUUUCGACUUUUAAACCAGCCGCCACAUUGGAAAGCGACCGAAGCGCCGAAAACGACGGACGCAAAGGAUUAAAAUGAAGAGCUGGCGGUUUUGGCGUUGGCUGCGGCCCAAGAAGAUGAAGAAGUGUGAAGGGCGUUCUCCUUCCGCAAUCGAUGAAGAGAGGGUCUUUUCCCCCUUUGAGCGGGGAGAGGAACUCUCUUCCAUCGAUUGCGGAAGGGGUUCUUCCUUCACGGGAUCGCCUUCGGGAAUAGCGGAUGUCGACAGCAUUCUCUGUUCCGCGUUGAACGGAGAGGAGACAUUUCGCCAUUCGGACGUGUUCCGAAAGGUGAAAUGUCUCCAUGUUGACGACAUCAUCUUUGACGCACUGGGAGGGGAGGAAUGUUUCGAUCAUUCCUCCCUUUUCCAACGAGUGGGAUCCUCUCGUUCGGUGUGGGCAAAGAUGGAAAGGAAAAAGCGUCGCUUCGUAAGAGAAGUGAACGACUUUUUCCUUUGCUAUUUCUGAAGGAUAUUACUAACCUAGGAUAAGAAGGCAAGAGGUUUUUUUCGUUUGUUUUUUCCUCUUGUCAUACUAACAACAUUUAAAUUUAAGGUUUUAGUUUCAAUUUACUAACGUAGGAUAAGAAGGCAAGAGGUUUUUUAUUUUUUAUUUUUUCCUCUUGUCAUACUAAACAUUGAAACUAAAAUCUUAAAUUUAAUUUACUAAUCUAGAUGUAAGUAGACAAGGGGUUUUUAAUUUUUUUCCCCUUGUCGAUCACACUAGAUUAUUAAUUCACAUCCACGCACAUAAACAACAACAUCCCUCACGCUGAAACACACAGUUCAAACAACGACACAUUCGUCGCAUCCAAUCACCAACGAUUCCAUUCACGUGCAUUAUAAACAACACCGUUCACAACCCGAACACGCUUCCCAAAAUCCAACCUCUGGGUCCACGUCCCGGGAAGCGGUAACGUCGGUCGCAAUGGCCGAUGGCCAAAGAGGCUCUGGUAACAAUUUACUUUUGAUA